rnacentral:rRNA from 1 species
UACGUAGGGCGCAAGCGUUGUCCGGAAUUACUGGGCGUAAAGGGCCAGUAGGCGGCCAACUAAGUCGGAUGUGAAAUCCCCAGGCUUAACCUGGGAACUGCAUCCGAUACUGGAUGGCUUGAAUUCGGGAGAGGGAUGCAGAAUUCCAGGUGUAGCGGUGAAAUGCGUAGAUAUCUGGAGGAAUACCGGUGGCGAAGGCGGCAUCCUGGACCGACAUUGACGCUGAACGGCGAAAGCUAGGGGAGCAAACGGG